rnacentral:lncRNA from 1 species
UUUAAAAAUUUUGAUUGCAUAUUUAGAGAAUAAGAUUGAAUAAGAUUGGUGAUUCUAUACAGUCUGCACGAACAACGAUAUAUGGUAACCUACUUUUUAUGUGAUUUCCCCUUAGAACUAAAAUCCCAGUUAUAAUGAAGAAAAAGGAUAUUACUCAUUAAAAAAUAUGUUCCAAUAUCCAAAGCACAGAAAGAACAAAAUGAAAGACAACAUGAGACCAAAAUGGAUAAGCAAGACAAAGAGCUGUCAGAGGUGCUUAAUCUCUGGACUCCUACGGGUUAAUGGACCCGGAACCAGGAAUUACUGCUAUUGAAGACAACAGAUAAGUUAUAUUUAUUCUAUAAGCCUUGAAGUGUGGAAUUUCCUUAUUUGUUCUGUAAUUGUUGUGUGUAAAUCUAGUAUGAUGGGAUUAGAGAGACUCAAGCAUGCAUUCAUUCCUGCCUUUGAAUAAUAUUGAGCUCCAAAUUGUUUCCCAUGUGCUUUUUCAGACAUAGGUGAUGUAUGAACAUUCAAAAAUAUGUCUACCUUGCUCCUCAGCCUGUUAUACUAUCUUAAUUACAUUAUAAUCAGUGCAUUAUAAUUAUGGCUAAUUUCAGAAAGUUUCUGCUUUAUUUUAAAACUGUAUUGCUAACUCAAGGCUCUACAUUGAAUGCCUCAGUAUUUGUUGCAAUUGUUGGUACUAACGUCGGGAACUGAAUUAUCAAAGUGUCUGCCUGAUUCAGAGAAAUAGAAACCCUCUCGAUAAUCUGUGCAGUGUUCCAGAUCAAAGGAGGGAUCGAAACUGCUGUUCACAGUCGUUGCUCAGGGAGCACUAUUACUCAUUUUGAACUGAAACUAUGGGAAGACACUGUAUAACAUAAGUUUGUAGAAUGUGUAAUUUAACAUGAGAUAGUAUUAUCAAAAGGGAAAUCAUAGAGUUGUAAUUAG